rnacentral:rRNA from 1 species
UACGGAGGGUGCAAGCGUUAUCCGGAUUUAUUGGGUUUAAAGGGUGCGCAGGCGGACCUGUCAGUCAGUGGUGAAAACCCGGGGCUCAACUCCGGAACUGCCAUUGAUACUGCAGGUCUUGAAUUCGGUUGAAGUGGGCGGAAUGUGUCAUGUAGCGGUGAAAUGCAUAGAUAUGACACAGAACACCGAUCGCGAAGGCAGCUCACUAAGCCGACAUUGACGCUCAUGCACGAAAGCGUGGGGAGCGAACAGG